UAUCUAUGGAAACAGAAGGCGUGUAUUCGUCUAGAGGAGGGAAGCCAUGUGCAACAAGAAGAUAUCAGUGUCAAGUGUCCAGUGUGAACUACCGUGCUACUCGGCUAGCAAGUAGGAACAAAGCGUUUUGUCAAUUUUUUUCACAAAUGUGAAUUAAUCUGUUCAUAAUGUUGACAUUGUUAGCGUUUAGCUCUGCUUUACCCAGAUCUCAGCAGGGUCCAAUCGGAUCAGGUCUGUCUGAAAGGUAUGUUUGUGUGAUAUGUUGUACUGUAGUGACAGCAAAUCCAGAAGACGGCGACAGGCUGGACAGUUUCCACAUGCUAGCAUGCGUUCCUUCCUUUGCUAUUUCUGCCCCGCAGGGUGGCAGGCUGCGUGGGCAGCAUGCUUCCUCUCGGUCCUGGCACCUGGAGUGCAAGUGCACGCUGCUGAGGGAAAUGACAGGCUACACCCGCUGGUGCCAGGUCUGCAGAGCCACUGUAAUGUGACAUGGCAUGUAAUAACGUGAAGUGACGAACAAACUGUCACUCUGUGUCGAAGAUGUGAAUGUAAUCACAAAGAGAUUAAUCCUUGUUUGCAUUUGGCCAAACGCUGAUCUACGAAUCAUCUAGAGGUUGUUUUAGGACAUUAUUAAUAUGUUCUAUAAAGCUAUAUUUGAAGGGUUUUUCAAUAAUGGAUUAAGUGUUUGAAUAUUAAGUUUUGCAUAGUGUGUGUUGAAAUAAAAAAGAAUCAGUAAUUGCAGGUCUUCAAUGCAUUUUGAUAAUGUCCUUGAAUCAGACUCAUUUUCUUGCAACAAAAACACUGAGGUAAGCUUAUAUAAUAGACUUUCUCAUGUGAUUCAUUGUAACAAAAUUUGUAAGAAAUAUUGCCUAAAUGCAUGUGCUGUUUUGUUUGUAUACCAAGUUUUAGCGGUAAGCAACUGCACAAUUUGUCAGCUCAAAUGCUCCUAAAAGUUAACUUGCAUGUGGCCGAGAAUAUUUCUUUAUUAAAAGUUUAAAAGAGACCAAAUUAAUAAUAGAGAUGUUUCAUUUUUAAACAGUGCUAAAUGCUAAUAUCGCCACGUUCCGGUGAGGGCAGAUAGAGAUACCCCAAAGUGGUAACUCAUAUGCAGAAAAUCCUCUUCGUUCACACCUUUGCCAUGAUUGCUCUGAGCACUGGGGACCAGUCUCUCACUAACCUUUACUGUAGCCAAGUGUGAUUGUGGGUACUGAACUCACACAUGCACACACACACACUUUAGCAUCUUUGAACCUCCUUUGGCUGUCACCUGCUUUGGUCGAAGUCUAAUUCUUGACUUUUUCUUCUUUUUUGUAGGAUAUACUUGGUUUCCAAGAAGACACAUCUGAAAACACCAGUGUUCUUCACAUGUAAAGGUAAGAUGUUGCACCGGGAUGGAUCAGAGUGCAUGGAAUAUGUGAGUUAGAAGACGGAGUUACUUCGUGUCUUCAGGAGGUAAUUUUCAGUGGAUGCAUCUAUGAAGGCCUCCAUCCCUUAUGUGAAGAAUACCAGAAGGCCCUUCAGGGAAGGGCUGUUGGAGAGUAGCAACCAGUUUCACCUGGAGACAGGCACCUGUCAGAAUGUUGCAGCCCUGUCACCGAAUGGGAAAUUUCUAUUGGAUUGCCCUCUCUAGAGUCAGCUUUUGUAUGGAGCGUUACAUGGACCCAAUGUCAGUGCCAGCAAUAUGUGUAUAAAAAGGCAAGAAGCAGCAGUGGUGUGGGGUUUUAAUUGAAGCUCCCUCUCACGAAGCGCAGCGCUAUAGGCUCAGUGUCAGGACCCGCUGCGGCUGUGGCACCCUCUCAGGCGCGGGACGGCUGCAGUGGCGAAGGGCCUUCUAAUUGCGCUCCGCAGAGAGCGAACACCCCUGUGGACGAAAAUGAAAGAGCGCCCGGCCCAGCUUCAUCUCUAUUGUGCGAAAAUAAAUAUAUACAGUCGACGCCCAGGGUGUGAAAUAACACACCAGCCGUUGGAUUUCACUGGUCAUUUCACCCUCAGCUGCAGAGCCCAAAACAAAACGAUAUUGUCUUAAACGCAGCCACCCGUUUAAGUGGCAUUGUCCCGAACAGCGUGGCAAGCAGAGAGAUGUGGGCCGUCUGCUUCUUGUCACUUCCUAUUAUUAAGAAGGCGCUCCGUGGCACCUGGGGGAAUGCCAGUCUCCACUGCUUCCAUCAGAAAUCAGCCGUCCAGACGUCCAAACACAACCUGUCGUGUCUCAGUGUUACCCAGAAUGCCGCAAGCAGCGCAGGGCCCGGGGAUGCUUUCCAGCACCCCAACACUCGAUGUCUCCAUCAGCCACACUAAUUCCGCUCUACAAAUCGGAGAAGUCACAGGGCAUAUCUUUACUGCCAGAGUAAGCACAACACAGGCAUUUGCCUGAACUGUGAACAGUCUUCUGUUUCAGCGAUGACCCCAGUGUGUUUGCACUGGGUGUAAUCAUUAUUGUUGCAGAUGGUGGUAGCUUUUGUAAUUUACAUGUAUCAGUUUAUACAGAAGACAUAUUAAGGUAAUUGCAAGCAUGAAUAUGAAA